rnacentral:rRNA from 1 species
UACGUAGGGUGCAAGCGUUGUCCGGAAUUAUUGGGCGUAAAGAGCUCGUAGGCGGUUUGUCGCGUCUGCUGUGAAAACUCGGGGCUUAACUCCGGGCCUGCAGUGGGUACGGGCAGACUAGAGUGAUGUAGGGGAGACUGGAAUUCCUGGUGUAGCGGUGAAAUGCGUAGAUAUCUGGAGGAAUACCGGUGGCGAAGGCGGCAUCCUGGACCGGCAUUGACGCUGAGGAGCGAAAGCCAGGGGAGCAAACGGG